UUUAAAUGAUGUUACUUCAGUAUAGUUCAUUAGAAUCCCACAUGUUACAACGUUUUCGAAGCUGAUAU
rnacentral:snoRNA from 2 species